CCUACGGGGGGCAGCAGUGAGGAAUAUUGGUCAAUGGACGAGAGUCUGAACCAGCCAAGUAGCGUGAAGGAUGACUGCCCUAUGGGUUGUAAACUUCUUUUAUAUGGGAAUAAAAUGUUCCACGUGUGGGAUUUUGUAUGUACCAUAUGAAUAAGGAUCGGCUAACUCCGUGCCAGCAGCCGCGGUAAUACGGAGGAUCCGAGCGUUAUCCGGAUUUAUUGGGUUUAAAGGGAGCGUAGGUGGAUUGUUAAGUCAGUUGUGAAAGUUUGCGGCUCAACCGUAAAAUUGCAGUUGAAACUGGCAGUCUUGAGUACAGUAGAGGUGGGCGGAAUUCGUGGUGUAGCGGUGAAAUGCUUAGAUAUCACGAAGAACUCCGAUUGCGAAGGCAGUUCACUGGACUGCAACUGACACCGAGGCUCGAAAGUGUGGGUAUCAAACAGGAUUAGAUACCCCAGUAGUC
rnacentral:rRNA from 1 species